rnacentral:rRNA from 1 species
UACGUAGGGAGCAAGCGUUGUCCGGAUUUACUGGGCGUAAAGCGCGCGUAGGCGGUCUGUUAAGUGUGAAGUGAAAUCUCCAGAGCUCAACUCGGAAACUGCUUCGCAUACUGGCAGACUAGAGGGAGGAAGAGGCAGAUAGAAUUCCCGGUGUAGCGGUGACAUGCUUUGAUAUCGGGAGGAAUACCAAUGGCGAAGGCAGUCUGCUGGUCCUUUUCUGACGCUGAGGUGCGAAAGCGUGGGUAGCAAA